rnacentral:rRNA from 1 species
GAUUAAGUUAUUAAGGGCGCACGGUGGAUGCCUUGGCACUAGAAGCCGAUGAAGGACGUUACUAACGACGAUAUGCUUUGGGGAGCUGUAAGUAAGCUUUGAUCCAGAGAUUUCCGAAUGGGGAAACCCAGCAUGAGUUAUGUCAUGUUAUCGAUAUGUGAAUACAUAGCAUAUCAGAAGGCACACCCGGAGAACUGAAACAUCUUAGUACCCGGAGGAAGAGAAAGAAAAUUCGAUUCCCUUAGUAGCGGCGAGCGAAACGGGAAGAGCCCAAACCAACAAGCUUGCUUGUUGGGGUUGUAGGACACUCUAUACGGAGUUACAAAGGACGACAUUAGACGAAUCAUCUGGAAAGAUGAAUCAAAGAAGGUAAUAAUCCUGUAGUCGAAAAUGUUGUCUCUCUUGAGUGGAUCCUGAGUACGACGGAGCACGUGAAAUUCCGUCGGAAUCUGGGAGGACCAUCUCCUAAGGCUAAAUACUCUCUAGUGACCGAUAGUGAACCAGUACCGUGAGGGAAAGGUGAAAAGCACCCCGGAAGGGGAGUGAAAUAGAACCUGAAACCGUGUGCUUACAAGUAGUCAGAGCCCGUUAAUGGGUGAUGGCGUGCCUUUUGUAGAAUGAACCGGCGAGUUACGAUUUGAUGCAAGGUUAAGCAGUAAAUGUGGAGCCGUAGCGAAAGCGAGUCUGAAUAGGGCGUUUAGUAUUUGGUCGUAGACCCGAAACCAGGUGAUCUACCCUUGGUCAGGUUGAAGUUCAGGUAACACUGAAUGGAGGACCGAACCGACUUACGUUGAAAAGUGAGCGGAUGAACUGAGGGUAGCGGAGAAAUUCCAAUCGAACCUGGAGAUAGCUGGUUCUCUCCGAAAUAGCUUUAGGGCUAGCCUCAAGUGAUGAUUAUUGGAGGUAGAGCACUGUUUGGACGAGGGGCCCCUCUCGGGUUACCGAAUUCAGACAAACUCCGAAUGCCAAUUAAUUUAACUUGGGAGUCAGAACAUGGGUGAUAAGGUCCGUGUUCGAAAGGGAAACAGCCCAGACCACCAGCUAAGGUCCCAAAAUAUAUGUUAAGUGGAAAAGGAUGUGGCGUUGCCCAGACAACUAGGAUGUUGGCUUAGAAGCAGCCAUCAUUUAAAGAGUGCGUAAUAGCUCACUAGUCGAGUGACACUGCGCCGAAAAUGUACCGGGGCUAAACAUAUUACCGAAGCUGUGGAUUGUCCUUUGGACAAUGGUAGGAGAGCGUUCUAAGGGCGUUGAAGCAUGAUCGUAAGGACAUGUGGAGCGCUUAGAAGUGAGAAUGCCGGUGUGAGUAGCGAAAGACGGGUGAGAAUCCCGUCCACCGAUUGACUAAGGUUUCCAGAGGAAGGCUCGUCCGCUCUGGGUUAGUCGGGUCCUAAGCUGAGGCCGACAGGCGUAGGCGAUGGAUAACAGGUUGAUAUUCCUGUACCACCUAUAAUCGUUUUAAUCGAUGGGGGGACGCAGUAGGAUAGGCGAAGCGUGCGAUUGGAUUGCACGUCUAAGCAGUAAGGCUGAGUAUUAGGCAAAUCCGGUACUCGUUAAGGCUGAGCUGUGAUGGGGAGAAGACAUUGUGUCUUCGAGUCGUUGAUUUCACACUGCCGAGAAAAGCCUCUAGAUAGAAAAUAGGUGCCCGUACCGCAAACCGACACAGGUAGUCAAGAUGAGAAUUCUAAGGUGAGCGAGCGAACUCUCGUUAAGGAACUCGGCAAAAUGACCCCGUAACUUCGGGAGAAGGGGUGCUCUUUAGGGUUAACGCCCAGAAGAGCCGCAGUGAAUAGGCCCAAGCGACUGUUUAUCAAAAACACAGGUCUCUGCUAAACCGUAAGGUGAUGUAUAGGGGCUGACGCCUGCCCGGUGCUGGAAGGUUAAGAGGAGUGGUUAGCUUCUGCGAAGCUACGAAUCGAAGCCCCAGUAAACGGCGGCCGUAACUAUAACGGUCCUAAGGUAGCGAAAUUCCUUGUCGGGUAAGUUCCGACCCGCACGAAAGGCGUAACGAUUUGGGCACUGUCUCAACGAGAGACUCGGUGAAAUCAUAGUACCUGUGAAGAUGCAGGUUACCCGCGACAGGACGGAAAGACCCCGUGGAGCUUUACUGUAGCCUGAUAUUGAAAUUCGGCACAGCUUGUACAGGAUAGGUAGGAGCCUUUGAAACGUGAGCGCUAGCUUACGUGGAGGCGCUGGUGGGAUACUACCCUAGCUGUGUUGGCUUUCUAACCCGCACCACUUAUCGUGGUGGGAGACAGUGUCAGGCGGGCAGUUUGACUGGGGCGGUCGCCUCCUAAAAGGUAACGGAGGCGCUCAAAGGUUCCCUCAGAAUGGUUGGAAAUCAUUCAU